rnacentral:misc_RNA from 1 species
AAACGAUUGAACUGAAGCUGAAUUUGGGCACUGUGAGAAGUGCAAAAUGAGUUUCUUUCUGAAGAUUUUGCACUGAGGGAUUAAUUUGGAGGUGUUCUUGGCUGUGGAAUGAAGAGAUGAGCCCAUGGGAUUACCAAGAGUAUCGUCGCAGCACAGCAAAUUGCCCUUGCUUUGCGUCACGAAGAUGGGUUCAGGCUUCUUCACAAAUGAUGGCAGGUCCUUCCUCUGUGCAAAAUGGCGUUGACAGCAUCUGUUGGUCUUCGGAUUCUUUGCAGAUGAUGAUGGCAAGGCUUUUGGGUCUCUCUUUGGUGUUAAAUGCAGCUGGGCAGCCACGGGUGGCUUUGGGAAGGAUGGAUCUUUGCUUCACGAUAAUAGAGCUGCUAGAUCUCUUCACGGACAGUGAUGAAGCACGGUGGGCUGAUGUCACCGAUUGGAAGCCAGCAUUGGGGCGCUGGUUGGGCUUCGGAUUUAAUGGCGGCUAGGUUGGGUCCAGUUCACUGAGCUGUCCAAUGACUGUGGGUACCCGUUGGGGCUCUUCUUUCUUGGUGAAGCUUCGUUGAUUGAAUUGCCCAAUUCUCACUAUUGCAAAUUGAUUUUUUGUUUUUUAUGGCAGUGAUGGUGGUGAUGACAGGACAAGAAGAGUGUGAUGACAAAAAGGAGGGGAAAAAGAAAUCCAUGGAGAAAGGAUAGAGGAGGCUGCACAAGCAAUUUCAGAGGAAGAGGGAAAUUUCUUGGAGUUUCUUGAAAUAGGAGAGAGAGACAGAGAGAAAAG